GACAGAGGGGGCAAGCGUUGCUCGGAAUUAUUGGGCGUAAAGCGCACGUAGGCGGCUUGGCAAGUCGGAUGUGAAAGCCCUCGGCUCAACCAAGGAAGUGCAUCCGAAACUGCUGAGCUUGAGUACUUAAGAGGAUCGCGGAAUUCCCGGUGUAGAGGUGAAAUUCGUAGAUAUCGGGAGGAACACCAGUGGCGAAGGCGGCUCACUGGCCCGGAACUGACGCUGAGGUGCGAAAGCGUGGGGAGCAAACAGG
rnacentral:rRNA from 1 species